rnacentral:rRNA from 1 species
GGACUACAGGGGUAUCUAAUCCCGUUCGCUACCCACGCUUUCGUGCUUGAGUGUUAGGAACGCGCCAGUCUGCUGCCUUCGCUUUCGGUGUUCCCCAUGAUAUCAACGGAUUUCACCCCUACACCAUGAGUUCCACAGACCUCUCACGCCCUCGAGUCUGCCCGUUUCGCGCGCGGAUCCGAGGUUGAGCCUCGGGUUUUGACGCGCGACUAAGCAGACCACCUACGCACUCUUUACGCCCAGUAAUUCCGGGUAACGCUUGGGGCCUCUGUAUUACCGCGGCUGCUGGCAC